AGCCACCCCGGGAGUCCCAGGUCCCUGUGGGGCUCCUGUCCUCAGUUUGACAGCCCCGCCCAUGCCACAUGGCCCAGGCAGCUGGGACAGCUGUGAUGCAGGCAGUGGCUGAAAAGGGCUCUGAGCAGAGAGGGGCACUGCCCCGCCCUCAAAGGUGGGCUGCCAGAUCCAGAGAACUUGUGGGGGGCAGGGGGUACACUAGUCCGGCCGCGAUGAGGUUCAGCCUCUCCUGUGGCCGCCCAGGUGUCACCCACACCCUUCUCUGUGAGAAGCUCAGAAAGGGGGUGGGUGCUCCCAGGGAGCCUCCAGUGAACAGAGCAUCUCGUGAACAGGUGGUGCAGAAGGAGCCCCAAAUGGUUUGUCCGGGCCCCAGGGCAGCAGGAUGAUGGGCCCCAGGCUGUGGGGUUUGCCCAGGGGACUUGGGGAGGGCUUCCAGCAGCUGUCCCAGGGCCCCAAUAAGCAGUGUGUGGGGAGGGGCCUCAGGAUUUCCUCUGGCUGCCACCUCCCUGCAGCCAGGCCCCUGACCCACAAGCACAGCAGACGAGUCGUGGGAUGGAACAGCCCUCCCAGCCAGCCCACUCGGGGUCCCACAGGGAGAGACACCUGGGAGAUGUAGUCGGAGUGUUGGGCGGCCAAGGCUGCCAGGCCUGGAAAGGAGGACACAGGUUUGCUGAAUAAAGACUCCCACUCCUGG